AAACUCACUCGCUCACUCAACAAUCUCUUCAUCUCUGCUGUGCACAAAACAAAACAAACAACUCUUCUGCGUCCAAAAAACUAAUGGAAAUAUUUUCGUCAAGCUCGUUGAGUACUGGAAGCUCCAAAAGACAUCACCGUAAGUCUAGCCCGACGGGAUACAACGCAACAUUCGAAGCACGUCGAAAGACCAUGAAGACAGUAACACUAGGAGGAAGUCCCAAGCGAAGUUGGAGGAUGAAAAGUGUGCCAAAAUUCAAGUUCAAAUUGAUAUUAUCGUCGCCUAUGAGGCUAUGGAGGAAACUAAAGAACGGUUACAUGAACUUGAUGCUUAAUAUCGGAAGCUCAAGUUCUGCAAAUGGUUUGGGAGAGAAAAGAGUACCCAAGGCUCGUAAAUCAUCUAGGGUUAGUAGCAGUAAUACUGAGUUCGAUAACAGACUCGUUUUCGAAAUCUACAAGUCCUUGGUCACUUCUCAUGAAUUGGCCGCAAAUUAGUUUGGUUGUGUAUGAAUAGCUUAAUGUUUCAGCCAGUAAUUACUGGAUCAUGUAAUUAUAAACCAUUUUUUUAAUAUACAUAUAUUUAUCGGAUCAUUUAUAUUUAGACCCAUUUAUUUAUUCUAUAAAAAUCAUUCGGUACUGUAAGGGUUGAGCUCGCUCCCUCCUCCUCCUUCUUCUUCUUGUUUUUUUUUUCUUUACAAUGAAUCGGUGAAUUUUUAACUAUUCGAUUAGCUAAAAAGCAUGACUUAGACCCAUUAGCUUCAAGUCUUUGUGGUCUGCUGACUCUUCCAAUUGUGUGGACAUAUGAAACUUAAUUAAAAUUGUGAAAGAAAAUUAGCGAGGAGACCAAGCAGAGGGAAGAGAAAGUAGAGAAUAUAUAUAUUAAAAAAUCGAUGAAGAACCGCAAAGUUUGUGAAUGCACUGAAUGGACAAUGAUUGAAAUUUGUUAGCAUUGACCAAUACCACAAAGGCUGGGUACUUCACUAUACAUCCGUGCGGUCAAAAGAUAAGAACAAGUCCAGUACUCUCUUAAUAGCUUUCAUUAAUCUAACAGUAUCAUACUUCAGUUAUGUAGAUUAUAUGUUUAUACAUAUAUUAUCCAUGUUUUUCUGUUUUAACAAUGAAAAUCCAAAUGCAUGCUUAUACUCUUUCAGUACCUCAGAAUUCUUCAUUUGUUCUGUACCUUACUCUCAUAUAUCAAUUCUUUCCUUAAAAAAAAACUCAUUUCUUUUCAUAUCUAAUUAAACAUCAGUUGAUAUUAUUAAUAAAACUCUUUUUUUUUUGUUAUCCUCUUGUAUAAAUAUUAAGAUUUAGGCAUAAGAAUUAUAUAUGUUUCUUAGUUUAAAACUGUAGACCUCAGUUUAGUGGCGAAAGUUUCAAAUAAUCCUGAGAACAAAUGAGAAGGUGAAGGCAGCCAUAGUAGUUUGACUUAAUUUUAAAAAAAAUAUUUAUAAUUUUUUUUAUUAAAAUUCUUCAUUUUCAAUCAAUGAUCCGAUUAAUACUCCGUAUGUCCUCUUCAAUUGUAUACAUUAAUUUUUGGCAUGUUUUUUUAAGGUUCUUUAAGGGAUGGUUUCAUAAUAUUUUCAAAAUUGUUUUUCCCUGAAUAAAAAUUUGAUGUUUAAAUUUUUUUAAAAAAUAAAAUUUAAAAAAAUAUACACAACUAUAUUUUAUAGAAGUAUCAAAAUACAUACCAAGAAGGAAGGUAUACAACUGAUAGAAAGUACUGAUUUUACACUUUUAGCAAAACAAAGAUAAUUUGAAAAUCAGUUUCCAGAAACUUGAUCCUGAAAAGCUGCAUGUAAUAAAUUCAGCCUCCACCGGUACCUUUAAUUGAAUUUCUAAGGCGCAAGUGCAAAAUAUAUGACAUGUGCGAAAGUAAAUAAUCCUAAUAGUCAUAGUCAAACACCCCUUCUGGUGCGACCAUGACUAUACGAAACUGCCAAGCAAACACCAAGCCAAGACCCGUAUUAUAAAUACACAUGAUUCAUUCUACAAAACUCACUCACUCACUCAACAAUAUCUCAUCUCUGCAGCACAAAACAAAACAAACAGCUCUUCUUAAACGUCCCUAAUCAUCAUAAAACUAAUGGAAAUAUUUUCAUCAAGCUCGUUGAGUGGAAGCUCCAAAAGAUAUCGCCGUAAGUCCAGCCCGACGGGAUACAACGCAACAUUCGAAGCACGUCGUAAGAGCAUGAAGACAGUAACGCUAGGAGGUAGUCCCAAGCGGAGUUGGAGGAUGAAAAGUGUGCCAAAAUUGAAGUUUAAGUUAAUAUUAUCGUCGCCUAUGAGGCUAUGGAGGAAACUAAAG
rnacentral:lncRNA from 1 species